CCAAUAGCGUAUAUUAAAGUUGUUGCAGUUAAAAAGCUCGUAGUUGAACUUCGGGGUCUACCCAUUGGUCAGGCUUAAUUGUCUGCACUGGUGAGAUGGAUCUCUACCUUCUGAGGAACUUUCAUGCCAUUUAUUUGGUGUGGUUGGAAAUCAGGACUGUUACUUUGAAAAAAUUAGAGUGUUUAAAGCAGACUAUCGUCUGAAUACAUUAGCAUGGAAUAAUGAAAUAGGACGGACUGAUUCUAUUUCGUUGGUUUCUAGGAUCACCGUAAUGAUUAAUAGGGAUAGUUGGGGGCAUUAGUAUUCAAUUGUCAGAGGUGAAAUUCUUGGAUUUAUUGAAGACUAACUACUGCGAAAGCAUUUGCCAAGGAUGUUUUCAUUAAUCAGGAACGAAAGUUAGGGGAUCGAAGACGAUCAGAUACCGUCGUAGUCUUAACCAUAAACUAUGCCGACUAGGGAUCGGACGAAGUUAAUUUUAUAAUGACGCGUUCGGCACCUUACG
rnacentral:rRNA from 1 species